GAUGAACGCUAGCGGCAGGCUUAAUACAUGCAAGUCGAGGGGCAGCAGCUUUAUAGCAAUAUAGAGGCUGGCGACCGGCAAACGGGUGCGGAACACGUACACAACCUUCCUUGAAUAGGGGGAUAGCCCAUAGAAAUGUGGAUUAAUACCCCGUAAUAUAGCGGUGUGGCAUCACACUGUUAUUAUAGUUUCGGCGAUUCGAGAUGGGUGUGCGGCUGAUUAGGUAGUUGGCGUGGUAAGGGCCCACCAAGCCUUCGAUCAGUAGCUGAUGUGAGAGCAUGAUCAGCCACACGGGCACUGAGACACGGGCCCGACUCCUACGGGAGGCAGCAGUAAGGAAUAUUGGUCAAUGGACGCAAGUCUGAACCAGCCAUGCCGCGUGAAGGAUGAAGGUCCUCUGGAUUGUAAACUUCUUUUAUAGGGGGCGAAAAAAGGUCUUUCUAGAUCACUUGACAGUACCCUAUGAAUAAGCACCGGCUAACUCC
rnacentral:rRNA from 1 species